UACGGAGGGUGCGAGCGUUGUUCGGAAUCACUGGGCGUAAAGCGCGUGUAGGCGGCCCACUAAGUCUGAUGUGAAAGCCCGGGGCUCACCCCCGGAAGUGCAUUGGAAACUGGUGGACUCGAGUCCCGGAGAGGAGAGUGGAAUUCCUGGUGUAGCGGUGAAAUGCGUAGAUAUCAGGAGGAACACCGGUGGCGAAGGCGGUCUGCUGGGCAGUUGCUGACACUGAGGCGCGACAGCGUGGGGAGCAAACAGG
rnacentral:rRNA from 1 species